ensembl:lncRNA LINC01046 long intergenic non-protein coding RNA 1046
ACUCUGUGCUAGAGGGCCUGAUUCUUCCACCCCAGGGCCACACAUGCGGGGACAGCAAAGGAUAAUAAAUCCCACGGAUCGUCCUUCAGACUCUUCCCAUUGGCGAUGCCAUUAGAAGACUGGCUCAACCUGGAGGCAGCUGCGUGCUGUUCCUGACAUUACCAGACCUGCCCACUCUCCCCUGGAUCCCAACAUCACCGUCUACCUGGGUCCUCAUUCUUGUAACCCAACGAUGGCCUCCUAAAUUAGCAAAGUGCUUUGGCUCCUUUUCUAUAACAAAGGCUCUUUUUGAACCUCAUCAGUGAAACUAUGACAAAUAUUUUAUAAACGGCUCUCUGAAAGCACAGCUCGACACGUGCGCACUUACACGCACACACAAUGGCGUGUUUAGAUGCUCACGUGCGCUCUCUGCACAGGGCUGCAGCAUUUUCUCCCCUUCAAGUUUGCUCCCAAACGGAUUUAUUUUUUAAUUUUUAUUUUGUUGUACUGUAUGUAUCAACUGCACAAGGCAAUCAGCCAAAGAGAGAUUUAAACAUAUGGACUAAAUUUCAUGUCUUUGGAAAACAUGGUAGAGCAAGACAGCAAUAAGCUCUUCCACUCUGCUCUCUGGGGCUGCCACUUGGCUGAGGAGGGGACAUGUUACACCUGGGCCAAAUCAUCCUGGGUCUCCCACUCAAAGCGCCACUCUCAUGUCUGCAGCGGCCUGUGCAAAUAUGCAAAGCCCCCUUUGAAAGCUCUGUGGUGCUGCUUAGCGGUGUUCUUUGCACCUUGAACAAUGCUCACUCACAUGCAAGACCUGCCCAUGGACAUACCAGGAUUAGCAAAGCAAUCCACGGUCCUGAAUUUCUGUGGGUGCCUGCAUUUGCUAUGCUACAAGGGGAAGAGAUUGUCAUUUACAGUGAAAAAUAAAGGUGGUGUUAAUUAAAUUUAUUUUCCUGAGUGCCGACGUCUCCAGACCUCUAUUCCUUUUGUAAGAAAGCUUAUCAGAUGGAAUGAUCACAAUGGCGACGGUGAAAGUUCUACAGAUAACCCAAUAGUCGAUACAGUCACGAGUUUAAAAGAACCUUCCUGGGCUACUGUCAGGACUCCCAGGCAGGGAUGAAGAUGGGGAUAAUGAAAAACAAAAGUCCUGCCAGCACUAACAUUGUCAAGCCGUGAUAUCGGCACUUAAAACAACCGUUUGUGAGAGAAAACCUGGUAUCUGGCUUCUGACGUUUCAGUACAAUCUUCUAUUGUGCAUCUGGAUGACAUCACUGUUGUGUCCUUUGCAGAGAUGUGCAUACAGGGCCCUAACUGUCCAGGAGC